rnacentral:rRNA from 1 species
AUACGGAAGGUCCGGGCGUUAUCCGGAUUUAUUGGGUUUAAAGGGAGCGCAGGCGGAGAUGCAAGCGUGACGUCAAAUUUCGGGGCUCAACCCCGUCUCGCGUCGCGAACUGCGUCCCUUGGUUGCGGGAAGGGGAGGCGGAACUCGUGGUGUAGCGGUGAAAUGCAUAGAUAUCACGAAGAACUCCGAUCGCGAAGGCAGCCUUCCGGCCCGUCAACGACGCUCAUGAUCGAAGGUGCGGGUAUCAAACAGGAUUAGAUACCCUGGUAGUCCGCACAGUAAACGAUGGACACCCGCGGUUUGGCCUAUAUGGCUGAGCCGCCAAGCGAAAGCGUUAAGUGUCCCACCUGGGGAGUACGCCGGCAACGGUGAAACUCAAAUGAAUUGACGGGG